UACGUAGGGGGCAAGCGUUGUCCGGAUUCAUUGGGCGUAAAGAGCGUGUAGGCGGCCAGGUAGGUCGGUUGUGAAAACUGGAGGCUCAACCUUCAGAGGUCGACCGAAACCAUCUGGCUAGGGUCCGGGAGAGGAGAGUGGAAUUCCUGGUGUAGCGGUGAAAUGCGCAGAUAUCAGGAAGAACACCCGUGGCGAAAGCGGCUCUCUGGAACGGUACUGACGCUGAGACGCGAAAGCGUGGGGAGCGAACAGG
rnacentral:rRNA from 1 species